AGUGAACGCUGGCGGUAGGCCUAACACAUGCAAGUCGAACGGCAGCACAGUAAGAGCUUGCUCUUACGGGUGGCGAGUGGCGGACGGGUGAGGAAUACAUCGGAAUCUACUUUUUCGUGGGGGAUAACGUAGGUAAACUUACGCUAAUACCGCAUACGACCUACGGGUGAAAGCAUGGGAUCUUCUGACCUUGCGCGAUUGAAUGAGCCGAUGUUGGAUUAGCUAGUUGGCGGGGUAAAGGCCCACCAAGGCGACGAUCCGUAGCUGGUCUGAGAGGAUGAUCAGCCGCACUGGAACUGAGACACGGUCCAGACUCCUACGGGAGGCAGCAGUGGGGAAUAUUGGACAAUGGGCGCAAGCAUGAUCCAGCCAUAGCGCGUGGGUGAAGAAGGCCUUCGGGUUGUAAAGCCCUUUUGUUGGGAAAGAAAAGCAGCAGGUUAAGACCACGCUGUUCUGACGGUACCCAAAGAAUAAGCACCGGCUAACUUCGUG
rnacentral:rRNA from 1 species